rnacentral:rRNA from 1 species
UACGGGGGGGGCAAGCGUUGUCCGGAAUUACUGGGCGUAAAGGGCUUGUAGGCGGCCAACUAAGUCAGACGUGAAAUCCCUCGGCUUAACCGGGGAACUGCGUCUGAUACUGGAUGGCUUGAGUUUGGGAGAGGGAUGCGGAAUUCCAGGUGUAGCGGUGAAAUGCGUAGAUAUCUGGAGGAACACCGAUGGCGAAGGCAGCACCCUGGACCAACACUGACACUGAGGAGCGAAAGCCAGGGGAGCGAACGGG